CCUACGGGAGGCAGCAGUGGGGGAUAUUGGACAAUGGGCGGAAGCCUGAACCAGCGACGCCGCGUGAAGGAAGAAGGCUUUCGGGAUGUAAAGCUCUUUUAGCAGGGAAGAAAGAAGUGACGGUACCUGACCAAGAAGCCACGGCUAACUACGUGCCAGCAGCCGCGGUAAUACGUAGGGGGCAAGCGUUAUCCGGAUUUACUGGGUGUAAAGGGAGCGUAGGCGGGUGUGUAAGUCAGGUGUGAAAGGUCGGGGCUCAACCCCAGGACUGCAUUUGAAACUGUUGUUCUUGAGUGCAGGAGAGGUAAGCGGAAUUCCUGGUGUAGCGGUGAAAUGCGUAGAUAUUAGGAGGAACACCAGUGGCGAAGGCGGCUUGCUGGACUGUAACUGACGUUGAGGCUCGAAAGCGUGGGGAGCAAACAGGAUUAGAUACCCCUGUAGUC
rnacentral:rRNA from 1 species